rnacentral:rRNA from 1 species
AUUGAACGCUGGCGGCAGGCCUAACACAUGCAAGUCGAACGAGUGGCGGACGGGUGAGGAAUGUGUGGGAAACUGCCUGAUGGAGGGGGAUAACUACUGGAACCGGUGGCUAAUACCGCAUACCUUACAAUGUGCACAGAUGUGAUUAGCUAGUAGGUGGGGUAACGGCUCACCAAGGCGAAGAUCCCUAGCUGGUCUGCGAGGAUGACCAGCCAAACUGGAAAUGAGACACGGUCCAGAAUCCUAUGGGAGGCAGCAGUGGGGAAUAUUCCACAAUGGGCGCAAGCCUGAUGCAGCCAUGCCGCGUGUGUGAAGAAGGCCUUCGGGUUGUAAAGUACUUUCAGCAGGGAGGCGUUACCCGCAGAAGAAGCACCGGCUAACUCCGUGCCAGCCGCCGCGGUAAUAC